rnacentral:rRNA from 1 species
CACCGGCAGCCCAAGUGGUGGCCAUUUUUAUUGGGCCUAAAGCGUUCGUAGCCGGCCUGAUAAGUCUCUGGUGAAAUCCCGCAGCUUAACUGUGGGAAUUGCUGGAGAUACUAUCAGGCUUGAGGUCGGGAGAGGUUAGAGGUAUUCCCAGGGUAGGGGUGAAAUCCUAUAAUCCUGGGAGGACCACCUGUGGCGAAGGCGUCUAACUGGAACGAACCUGACGGUGAGUAACGAAAGCCAGGGGCGCGAACCGG